rnacentral:rRNA from 1 species
CACGUAGGAGGCGAGCGUUGUCCGGAAUCAUUGGGCGUAAAGAGCGCGCAGGCGGCUUGACAAGUCGGGUGUGAAAUCCCGGGGCUCAACCCCGGGACUGCAUUCGAUACUGUCAGGCUAGAGGUAGAUAGGGGAGAUCGGAAUUCCUGGUGUAGCGGUGAAAUGCGCAGAUAUCAGGAGGAACACCGGUGGCGAAGGCGGAUCUCUGGGCCUUACCUGACGCUCAGGCGCGAAAGCUAGGGGAGCGAACAGG